rfam:Brassica oleracea var. oleracea cultivar TO1000 chromosome C1, whole genome shotgun sequence
GGAAUAGAAGAACUCGUCUCUUAACUUUUAACUAAAAAAGUUAAGAACCGGCUAUUAAAUAAAAUAUUUAAGAACCGGUUCUUAGCUUUUUUAGUUAAAAGUCAAGAGACGAUAAGAACUCCAUCCU